rfam:Penicillium antarcticum strain IBT 31811 PENANT_contig012, whole genome shotgun sequence.
UUGCCUGAUGAACCCUUAAUAUUCGCUGUGUUCUUUCUGAAUCACCGUGUCGAUACAAUAUUAUUUCACCUUGGAGAACUGAUCU